rnacentral:rRNA from 1 species
AGUGAACGCUGGCGGCAGGCCUAACACAUGCAAGUUGAACGGCAGCACAAGAGAGCUUGCUCUCUGGGUGGCGAGUGGCGGACGGGUGAGGAAUGCAUCGGAAUCUGCCCAUUUGUGGGGGAUAACCUCGGGAAACCGGGACUAAUACCGCAUACGACCUACGGGUGAAAGCAGGGGAUCUUCGGACCUUGCGCAGAUGGAUGAGCCGAUGCCGGAUUAGCUAGUUGGAGGGGUAAAGGCCCACCAAGGCGACGAUCCGUAGCUGGUCUGAGAGGAUGAUCAGCCACACUGGGACUGAGACACGGCCCAGACUCCUACGGGAGGCAGCAGUGGGGAAUAUUGGACAAUGGGCGCAAGCCUGAUCCAGCCAUGCCGCGUGUGUGAAGAAGGCCUUCGGGUUGUAAAGCACUUUUGUUGGGAAAGAAAAGCAGCCGGUUAAUACCCGGUUGUCAUGACGGUACCCAAAGAAUAAGCACCGGCUAACUUCGUG